GACGAACGCUGGCGGCGUGCCUAAUACAUGCAAGUCGAACGCAGUGGGGACGGGUGAGUGACACGUGGGUAACCUCCCAUCAGAGGGGAUAAAACUUGGAACAAGGUGCUAUACCGAUAGGGAUGGAUGAACCCGCGGUGCAUUAGCUAGUUGGUGAGGUAACGGCUAACCAAGGCCACGAUGCAUAGCCGACCUGAGAUGGGGUUCAGCCACACUGGGACUGAGACACGGCCCAGACGCCGACGGGUGGCAGCAGUAGGGAAUCUUCGGCAAUGGACGAAAGUCUGACCGAGCAACGCCGCGUGAGUGAAGAAGGUUUUCGGAUCGUAAAACUCUGGUGUUAGAGAAGCGGUAUCUAACCAGAAAGCCACGGCUAACUACGUGCCAGCAGCCGCGGUAAUAC
rnacentral:rRNA from 1 species